CUUUCUCUUGUCAACAAGAACAAGUCAUCGGCUAUUGUAGAAAUAUUCUCCAAGUACCAGAAAGCAGCUGAAGAAGCAAACAUGGAAAAGAGGAGAAGUAACACUGAAAAUCUCCCCCAGCACUUUAGAAGGGGGAACCUGACCGUGUUAAAGAAGAAGUGGGAGAACCCAGUGCUGGGAGAGCAGACUCUCUCCCAGACUCCGUGCGAAACAGCAGCACCGAGGUCAGGCAUAGAGGCGACCCUCCUCCCGCUGAAGUGGCAAACAGCUCUGCCUCUGGAGUCGAGGCUGACCAAGAGGAACGAGUCCCCCCAGACCUAGAAUCAAAUCGCCUCCUGAAGCUCUUACUCAGUAUCCGUACCCCCGCAUCGAGGACAGUGAGCAUCUUAAAGACCACUCAGCAGAAAGUAAAAAAAUGGAAAAUUGUCUGGGAGAAUCCAGGCAUGAAUUAGGAAACCCGAAUAAGUGAAAAUGCAGAAGCUGCAAACAAAAUAGAGAAAUACAAUGUUCCGCUGAACA
rnacentral:lncRNA from 1 species